GCCGGAGUGGGUGAGUGGUUAAAACCAGGAGACUGUAAAUCUCCCGCCUUCGGGCUUCGAUAGUUCGAAACUAUCCUCCGGCACCA
rnacentral:tRNA from 1 species